GACGCAGAGACAGUGUGGAUAAUAAUAACGUAUUGCAGGAGUUAGGACUUUCCCACGGUGAUUCACAUUCAGCUUUCACUUAAGGCAAGAUGGAAGAAAGGAGGAUACCAAGAUAAGAAGAUCAAGGAGAUACAGAAAGCUAAAUUUGACAAGGGUCAACAGACCAGACAGCUCUCCCACAGCCAGCCUGAGAACCUGCUUUACGGUCUGAAUAGACUGGGUGAAGACUCGUGCAUCAGAUGGCUGAGAAAAGGAUAGCCCAGAGCAAGAGGGAGCCCAGCAGAGGCUAAGAAGGAGUUCACAAACCCACAUACAGCUGAAGGAGGUACCGAAUGACAUGUGGGGUCCAUUUCAGAAAGCAGGUUUAGUGAAAACUCUUGAGUUUGCUAACCCUGAGAUGAAGGUAAUUCUGGGUUUUCCGUUUCAGAGAGGUAACUUAACCUCGGACUCUGUGAACCUAGCCUGGUCGGGAGCAGGUUUUCUCCUUUCAGUCGCCUCCCUCUGACACAGUGCUCUUUUAUUUCGUCAUUCAUUUAUCAGUCUUAAUCAAGCGCAUUUUAGCACAGUUUGUUACCUGCAUGAAUAAAAAAACAGGGUUGGUUUAUUAACCAUGUUAGGCAGACUAUGAAACGUUUUUUUCACGAACAUGGCAUUUCCUUCUAUCUACAAUCCCAUUGAUGAAGAAGCUAUACUAAUUCGCAGGGAGUUAAACAUACGUCUGGAGAUGAUAUUGAAACCCCGACAUUUUAAUUUUUAGAUAACUUCCUAUUUGAGCGCUAUCAUUUUUCUUCCCAGUCUAUCAGUUAUGUAGCCUACCUAACCUUAGCCAUCCUCGUAUCACUAAUGUCUCCCAUCGUUGACAUGCCCUACAUCCCAACACAUUUUUUUGUAUUACAGUACAUUUUUUUUGCAAACGGCAGUUUUCUUUACAACAUUGGUGAUGCGCAGCAUAUUAGUCAGAAGAGAGUGACUCACUCUGAAACAUUUUUUUUAUAUUUUUGUAGUGUUCCCUGGACACAAACCAG